AUGGCCAUGAGCCGUGCCGAGCCGAUGUUCCCGGGGCGCCCCGGGUUUGGCAGAACCGGGCAGGUGUGCAUGGUGAGGGCCAACCACUUCUUCGUCGGCCUCGUGGACAAGGGCCUGCACCAGUACGACGUGGCCAUGUCGCCGGAGCCGACAAUUACGGGCGUUUUCCGAGCUGUCAUGUCCACUCUUGUGAAGGAGCACCAGAGCACCACUCUCGGCGGUCGCCUCCCAGCUUACGACGGCCGCAAGAGCCUGUACACCGCCGGCGAGCUGCCGUUUAAAACCAAGGAGUUCGAGGUCACCUUGCCUGACAAAAACCCAGGUCCACCUGGGCAAAGGAGGGAGAGGAAGUUCAAGGUGACCAUCAAGCACGCCACCCUGGUCAGCCUGCAGCAGCUGCAGAUGCUCAUGUCCGGGAUCCCCACGGACAUACCGGCGCAGGCGCUGCAGGUGCUCGACAUUGUGUUGCGUGACAUCGUGCUCAAUGAACGGGACGACAUGGGGUUCGUCCCGGUAGGCCGGUCUUUCUUCUCGCGGACCAUUGAGGAUCCCAUCCAGUUAGGCCAGGGCAUCGAAGGAUGGAAUGGGUUCUACCAGAGCAUCAGACCUACUCAAAGUGGAUUGUCCCUCAACAUUGACAUGUCUUCGACUGCUUUUGUUGGAGGUGGGUCGCUGAUUGAUUUCAUCAAGGAGAUUCUUAACAGGAAAGAUCUCUCUCGCGGCUUUCAAAAUGAAUUUGAUUAUGUGAAGAUUAAGAAGGCCCUCAGGGGUCUGAGGGUUGAGGUCACCCACCGAGGACAGAUGCGCAGGAAAUACCGCAUUGCUGGCUUGACAAAGGAUUCUGCAAGAGAAUUGAGGUUCCAAUUAUCGACCGGCGAAACCAAGACUGUGAGGGACUACUUUCGAGAAACCUACAAGCUGCAGCUGCGUUACGAUUUUCUCCGAUGCCUGCAAGUUGGUACAGAGCAGAAACCCAACUAUCUACCAAUAGAGGUCUGCAAUAUAGUUCCCGGACAGCGGUACCAAAAGAAGCUGGAUGAUGGCCAGGUUUCUAAAAUGAUGUCUAUAGCCUGCCAGCAUCCAGCUGGGCGUGAGACCUCCAUUCGCAAGUCUGUUCUGGAGAACAAAUAUAACAGCGCCAAACGUGCAAAUGAGUUUGGUAUAGAAGUUGACAGCAACCCAACUUCUGUUCAGGCUAGAGUUCUGCCUGCUCCAAAGCUGAGGUACCAUGGUUGUGCGUCUCUCUACCCAGAAAAUGGGGCGUGGAACAUGAGAGGCAAGAAAGUCGUAAAUGGUGCCAAGGUUGGUAUUUGGGCAUGUGUAAACUUUUGCAAUGAAUUGACUGAGGAUCAAGUUUGUAUCUUCUGCGGCAAAUUGAGUGAAAUGUCCUCCACAACUGGAGUGAACUUCAACGGUGCAAAGCUUAAGAUAUUCCAUGCUCGUUCAGAUCAAGUUGAAGCCAAACUCCGUGAAGUACGUCAGCAAGCGGGGAAUAUGAAGAUUGACCUCGUACUUGCUAUAUUGCCAAAUAAAAAUGGCAGCCUGUAUGGUGAUAUUAAAAGGAUCUGUGAAACAGACAUUGGUCUGAUGUCUCAGUGUUGUCUACUUAAAAAUGUCGAGAAAUCAAGUCCUCAGUUUCUUGCGAAUGUUGCUCUUAAGAUCAAUGCCAAGUGUGGGGGGAGGAAUUCGGUAUUUGCUGAUAUACCAGUAAGCUUACCAGUUGUUUGGAAACAGCCAACGAUUAUCUUCGGUGCAGAUGUUACUCAUCCUAGUGCUCUAGAUGAUACUGCCCCAUCCAUUGCUUCUGUUGUUGCCUCCCAAGACUGGCCUGAGGUGACCAAGUAUCAUGGUGAUGUUCAUGCACAAGGUCACCGCGUAGAGCUCAUUGAAGCCCUUGAGGGCAUCGUAAAGAAGCUGCUACUUUCGUUUGAAAAGCAAUCCAAACAGAGGCCGAAGCAGCUGAUAUUCUAUAGGGAUGGCGUAAGUGAGGGUCAGUUCAGAAAGGUUCUGGAGGAUGAGAUCCCCCUGAUAGAAAAGGCAUGGAAGGCUUUAUACAAUGAGAAGCCGUCAAUUACCUUCAUAGUGGUGCAGAAGAGGCACCAUACAAGACUGUUCCCAAGUGAUGGCAAAUAUCAGGACAACAGUGGAAAUGUUAUGCCAGGCACAGUUGUUGAUAGGCAGAUCUGCCACCCAACAGAGUUUGAUUUCUUCCUCUGUAGCCAUGCUGGGAUCAAGGGAACAAGCCGUCCUGCACAUUACCACGUGCUGCGAGAUGACAACAACUUCAGUGCUGAUGACCUGCAGUCUCUUACAAACAACCUAUGCUACACGUAUGCAAGCUGCACUCGCUCGGUGUCGACUGCUCCUCCUGCAUAUUACGCUCAUAAGCUUGCGUUCCGUGCGCGAUUCUACCUAGGCCAAGUCCCAGACAUGGCGUCGGAGAUAAGCGCCGGCAGUGCACCUCCUCCAUUGAUGCUUCCUGAGAUAAAAGAUGAGCUCAAAAGCCACAUGUUCUACUGCUAG
rnacentral:rRNA from 1 species